rnacentral:sRNA from 1 species
GCUGGGUGCAGUGGUGCACGCCUGAAAUCCCAGCAGCUCAGGAGGCUGAGGCAGGAGGAUUGCAAGUUCAAAGUCAGCCUUAGCAAAAGUGAGGCCUUAAGCAACUCAGUGAGACCCUGUCUCUA